rnacentral:tRNA from 1 species
GCUUUGGCUCAGCGGUAGAGUGCUCUCCUAGCAUGUGUGAGGCCCUGGGUUCGAUCCACAUUAAAAAAUA